GACGAACGCUGGCGGCGUGCUUAACACAUGCAAGUCGAACGGAAAGGCCCUGCUUUUGUGGGGUGCUCGAGUGGCGAACGGGUGAGUAACACGUGAGUAACCUGCCCUUGACUUUGGGAUAACUUCACGAAACUGGGGCUAAUACCGGAUAGGAGCUCCUGCUGCAUGGUGGUGGUUGGUAAGUUUCGGCGGUUGGGGAUGGACUCGCGGCUUAUCAGCUUGUUGGUGGGGUAGUGGCUUACCAAGGCUUUGACGGGUAGCCGGCCUGAGAGGGUGACCGGCCACAUUGGGACUGAGAUACGGCCCAGACUCCUACGGGAGGCAGCAGUGGGGAAUAUUGCACAAUGGGCGGAAGCGUGAUGCAGCAACGCCGCGUGCGGGAUGACGGCCUUCGAGUUGUAAACCGCUUUCGCCUGUGACGAAGCGUGAGUGACGGUAAUGGGUAAAGAAGCACCGGCUAACUACGUG
rnacentral:rRNA from 1 species